rnacentral:rRNA from 1 species
AGUGAACGCUGGCGGUAGGCCUAACACAUGCAAGUCGAACGGCAGCACAGUAAGAGCUUGCUCUUACGGGUGGCGAGUGGCGGACGGGUGAGGAAUACAUCGGAAUCUACUUUUUCGUGGGGGAUAACGUAGGGAAACUUACGCUAAUACCGCAUACGACCUACGGGUGAAAGCAGGGGAUCUUCGGACCUUGCGCGAUUGCAUGAGCCGAUGUCGGAUUAGCUAGUUGGCGGGGUAAAGGCCCACCAAGGCGACGAUCCGUAGCUGGUCUGAGAGGAUGAUCAGCCACACUGGAACUGAGACACGGUCCAGACUCCUACGGGAGGCAGCAGUGGGGAAUAUUGGACAAAGGGCGCAAGCCUGAUCCAGCCAUACCGCGUGGGUGAAGAAGGCCUUCGGGUUGUAAAGCCCUUUUGUUGGGAAAGAAAAGCAGCAGGUUAAUACCCCGCUGUUCCGACGGUACCCAAAGAAUAAGCACCGGCUAACUUCGUG